rnacentral:misc_RNA from 1 species
GAUGAAGAACGUAGCGAAAUGCGAUAAGUAAUGUGAAUUGCAGAAUUCAGUGAAUCAUCGAAUCUUUGAACGCACAUUGCGCCCGCCAGUAUUCUGGCGGGCAUGCCUGUUCGAGCGUCAUUACAACCCUCAGGCCCCCGGGCCUGGCGUUGGGGAUCGGCGGAGCCCCCCGUGGGCACACGCCGUCCCCCAAAUACAGUGGCGGUCCCGCCGCAGCUUCCAUCGCGUAGUAGCUAACACCUCGCGACUGGAGAGCGGCGCGGCCACGCCGUAAAACACCCAACUCUUCUGAAGUUGACCUCGCAUCAGGUAGGAAUACCCGCUGAACUUAAGCAUAUCAAUAAGCGGAGGA